AAUUUUUUUUUUUUUAAAUGAAGUAUGUGCUGUUGUACUUUAUGAUAUGCUAUGUAUUGAUUUUAUUGCUUACCAUAGCAAUAAAUAUGGCAGCUAAUCCCUGUUGUGUUCAGUAUUAAAACUUACACUAAUCACUCAUUUGGGAGGAAUUUUUAUUUUCAUUGUUAUUUAAUUUAGGUGCUAGUUAGUUGAAUCUACCAGUUGCCCAGAUAUUGGAUAACUGGAAUUCUACUGUACUAGUAUAUAUACUGUAGUUACAGUUGCAGGACUUGUUAUCUUCUAGGAGAAAUGUCCGAAUCAUUGGUAAAAGAGAAGUUGACUGAUGAACGACUUCACUUCCGUAGCUUUACAAUUUGAUGUGACAUUCCUGUUUCAGAGCACACACGCACAUUGUUGUCCUUACUGUUGUAUGUGUAAAUUAUAUCAAUGGCUGGCAAGCUUAAAAGUGAGUAUUUUGUGGUGCUGAGAAGAAAAAGAGAGACCCAUUUUCGAUUUUCUAUGCAUUAUUUAAGCAUUUCCGACUUACGACCAUUUCGACUUACGACCUGGAUGUCCGUCCCUAACCCCGUCGUAAGUCGGGGAGCAACUGUAAUUAAUAUAUUUGGGUAUUGCAGAUCAUCAAGUCACAAGAUGGUGUGUGUCAUGCCCCGGCACUGAAGCCUGACAAAUGGGUACCACUUACCCUCAAGUCAUACACUAAUGUGAGUGACAAGAUGGGAGCUUUUGUUUUCUCUCUGCCUCAUGAUACUGACCAUACAGGAUGCUUUGCUGGACAGUAUGUUGUGGUUAAAGUUACCAUCAAGGGGAAGGAACAGCUGCGUUACUUCUCACCUGUGUCUUGUCCAACUGACUAUGGUUGUAUUGAAUUGGUUCUGAGAUUUGAGACACAGGGGCUUAUUUCUAGGCACUUCCAAGCCCUUAAACCAGGUAAGAGAAUUCCUUAGUAUUGCCCUACCCAUAAGAUAUACGAUACUACCACAAUCAUUUGUUACCAUUAGCAUCAUAGUUAGUUUCUGUAGGCCUGUCUACAGAUAUAAAGGAAAGCUAUGCCAACAAGGAAAUGUCACUUCAGUUUAUAUAGGCUAUUAGAAUUUAUUUUUUUGACACACCUUUACCACUUUCAGAGAAAGGGGUUGCAUACAGACUUCCCCUUCUUGAUAGUUUAAUUUGCAUUAGGUGAAAUAGUCACAUGGAUCUAUCUCUCUUUAAAAAUUUUAUUUGCAUUCAUUGAAUAUUUUUGGUAAUUUUAUUUUCAUUUUACCUGUAGCUAUUUGCAUUGACUUAUUAUACUUUCACAGCAAUUACUGUAGUCCAAAUGAUGAAUACAGGUAUGUUGGAGGUAAAUAACGAAUGUGUGAAAUGACAAUGGGAGAUAAAUACCAUAUCUGUUUUAAUGUGCUUGCAGUUGCACUUAAUAGGAUGAUAUGAUUUAAUUCUUUUUUCUCAAAGGAUUGAACUUUGUUUGAAAAGCCUCAUUUAUCCUCAAUAUGUACAGAUUUAUGGCUUUUGUAGUAGCAUGUCAGAAGUGAUUACAAAGAAUCAUAAGCCAUAAAGUAUUCUAUACUUUAUCCUCUUUGCCACUGAUCUGCUCAUUGGCCGUUUGGGCAGUCAUUCACUUCUGUUAUGCACUGUUGGCAUGUACUGGCUCCAGAAUUUAUCUGUACCUGUGCCAGUGUUGGUCUGGUCUUGAAAGAGUUCGAUAAUCAAGAAAUAUUGUACAGUACUCUAAAAUGGUUAACAUGUGGUCCAAAAAUUGCCAUCUUGGAUUGGAAACUGAUGCUGGCCUAUCAGUCAAUGAAAUGUGAUAGCAAUGAAAUUCUGCUACCCUCAUUCAGCUGGUUGCCCCUUUAUGACCAUAUUCCCAAGUCAUGUGACUUCAGUGGGUUGAGGCUCAACAACUGUCAACAUAACUUACAAGUUUUGUCAUUUUUCUGCCUUUGGGAAAUACACUGAUCUGCUUUUCAAAAUAAAUAAGGAUACUUACAUUGAUCAUUAUACCAUUUGAAGCCAUCUGAGUGGUCAGGUUGAGUCGUAUAAACACCUGAUUAUCAAUCAUUAUUGCACUCUUCUGAUUUUAUCAGUGUGACAGCAUCUCCAAUAGUGCAUCUCUGUUUAUUAACCACCACACUUUGUCAUUUUCAUCACUUUGACAUAUAAAACAUUCGUGGACUAACAUAUUACAUACUUCACUGGUUGUAUGUCAUUAUACAGAAGUAAGGUACAGUUGCAGCCAAAAGUAAUCAUUCACUCCACCACCUAACCCCUGAAACUGACCUGGUCCUUUCUGCACAGUCCUGUAAGUCACGUGGGGUGGAGAAGGGAAAUUGGUUGAAUUGGGGGAUGGAUGUGGGAGGGUGGUAUGUAGUGGAAGUUGCUCAUCAGAGAAGGAGAAGAUUGAAGAAAAUGGGGGAAAUUUAUGAAACACUUAAGGGAAGGAUGGAUGUAAUUUUUUUCACUGUGCUUAAAAGAGUAAUAGAUGAGGACCUUUAUUUUAUCAUUAUUAUAAUGUGCAUCCAUUUCCUUAUUUAUUAUUUUUUCAGGUUGUUCAGGUUUUAAAUACAGUAACAGUAAUUAGAUAUUUAUAAUAACGUUGAUAUGAGGAGAAAUAUUGAAUAUGAGGAUAAAAAUCAUGUUUAUUUUUAAUAUUUACCAGCACAGGUCAUACAGAAUCUCAAUAGCCUGUCAAAUGUCAGCAAAUCAUCAAAAAUACUCCCAGCGGGUUAACUAACAUCUCAAUGACUCCAACUUCCCUCUCAUUUAUGGCAUGUUGUAGCCAGCCGUGCACAAACCGAUAAUUUGCCUGCGACUCACCAAUGGACAUUCUUUAGCCUUCAUCCUGGACUGGGUGUGGAGCAGUGGGCAAACACACUUGCCACUACCACCUCAUCACCUCACAUUGAUUUUCACGACUCUAAUAAACAUAUUAUAGGUUGGACAAGUUGCAUUCUAUCCAACAAUUCAGUCAUAAUUUUUUUUUUUUUAUUAAUUAAUAGUGAUUUUUUUCCUCAAGAACAGCAGUGACACAAGGUGGAUGUG